GAUGAACGUUGGCGACGUGCCUAACACAUGCAAGUCGAGCGGAGAAGCAGAGAGUGCUCUUUUCGGAGUGAACUUUUUUCGGAUCAGCGGCGGACGGGUGAGUAAUACAUGAGGAACCUGCCCUCUACAAGGGGAUAGCCGGGUGAAACCGCGAUUAAUACCCUAUGAGACCACGAAAGCGCAUGCUUUUGAGUUUAACGAUUUAUCGGUAGAAGUUGGCCUCAUGACCCAUUAGCUAGUAGGUGAUUUAACAGACCUCCAAGGCGACGAAGGGUAGCCGGCAAGAGAGGAUGAACAGAGACAGUAGAGCUAAGAAACGGGCCAGACUCCUACGGGAGGGAGCAGUCGGGAGUAUUACACAAUGGGGGAGAGUCAGAUGAAGCGACGUGGCGUGAGCGAAGAAGGCGUUCGGGACCCAAAUCUCGGUAAUAUGGCGAGACAGGGACGGUACCAGAUAAAGAAGCCCCGGCUAACUACGUG
rnacentral:rRNA from 1 species